UGGGGAAUAUUGCACAAUGGGCGCAAGCCUGAUGCAGCAACGCCGCGUGAACGAUGAAGGUCUUCGGAUCGUAAAGUUCUGUUGCAGGGGAAGAUAAUGACGGUACCCUGUGAGGAAGCCCCGGCUAACUACGUGCCAGCAGCCGCGGUAAUACGUAGGGGGCUAGCGUUAUCCGGAUUUACUGGGCGUAAAGGGUGCGUAGGUGGUCCUUCAAGUCGGUGGUUAAAGGCUACGGCUCAACCGUAGUAAGCAGCCGAAACUGGAGGACGUGAGUGCAGGAGAGGAAAGUGGAAUUCCCAGUGUAGCGGUGAAAUGCGUAGAUAUUGGGAGGAAAACCAGUAGCGAAGGCGGCUUUCUGGACUGCAACUGACACUGAGGCACGAAAGCGUGGGUAGCAAACAGG
rnacentral:rRNA from 1 species